ACCAUCAGGGACAAAUCACACUUACCACCCAUGAGAACAUACGUCCCUGGUCAGGACAGGAGGAAAGUUCGGAAGUGCGUUACCUACUGAACAGAUGGGCCCUGUUCUCUCACCUGACGAGCAAGCAGGUGGGCGCAGGCUGGAAGGAAGACAGUUGUGCCUCUCACCGUCCCGAGCCAGGGCCUGACUCGUGUUUGACCACGUUCCCAAGUAUGCUGUGUUCAACAACUACCUCUGAGCCUCUGAGGGAUGUCAAAGUUCAAAGCCAGUGAGCUCUCCCCUCCAGCCUCCACGUCGUGGGCCCUCCCUGCCACCUAGACGUUUGGCUAGGGGAAGGAGAUCGCUUCCCAGGUUUGGCACCGGAGCCUACAUUUUAUUUAUUUGACAGAGAUCACAAGUAUGCAGAGAGGCAGACAGAGAGAGAAGAGGAAGCAGGCUCCCUGCUGAGCAGAGAGCCUGAUGCGGGGCUCGAUCUCAAGACUCUGAGAUCAUGACCUGAGUCGAAGACAGAGGCUUUAACCCACUGAGCCACCCAGGUGCCCCAUCACUCAUUUAAUUCUUGUAUAUCAACCCUACUAUUGCCCCAGAUUUGUAUUGGGAAAAUGGAGGCUCAGAAAGACAAGUAACUAUCCCAAGGUAACACAGCUAGCCACGCGCAGAGCAGAAGUGCAAACCCAGACUUUUAAUGGCCUUAAAUGGGAGGAAAGAUGCUAAAGAAGAUGUGUGAUGGCUAAUUUUAUGUGUCGAUUUAGCUAAGCUAAGGGCACCAUUUAUUUGAUCAAACACCAGUUCAGAUAUUGCUGUCAAGGUAUUUUUUAGAUGUGAUUAAUAUAUAUCUCUUUUACAAUUUUUUAAGAGAGCAGGAGGGUAGAGGGGUGGAGGGGCAAAGGGAGAUGGAGAGCGAGAAUCCCAAGCAAUCCCCAUGUCCAGCGUGGCACCCACUUGAGGCUCAAUCUCACGACCCUGAGAUCAUGAACUGAGCCAAAAUCAAGAGUCGGAUGCUUAACCGGCUGAGCCACCCAGGAACCCUGAUGUGAUUAAUAUUUAAAUCAGACUUUGGGUAAAGCAGGUGACCUUCCACAAUGUGGGUGGGCCUCUUCCAAUCAGUAAAAGGCCUUAAGAGCAAAGACUCAGAAUACUCAAAAGAAGGAACUCUACCUCUCGACUGCCACACAGAAAUUCUGCCUGAGUUCCCAGCCUUCAGAAUCAAGAUUACAUCAGCUCUUCACUGAGUUUCCAGCCGGCUGGCCUGCCCUGCAAACUCCAGACUUGCUAGUCCUGACGACUGUGGGAGUGAACUCCUUUAAACUAAAAGUCUCUCUCAUUCUUUUUCUUUCUCUCUAGAGAGGUAGAUAGAUAGAUGGAUACACAGGCAGACAGAUGAUAGAUGGAUAGACAGAUGGAUAGAUGGAUGGGUAGACAGACAGAUGAUAUAGAGAUCUUUGCUGGUCUGUUUCUCUGGAGAACCCAAGUACACAUGGGGUAAACAUUGCCCACAGUCACCAAUAAGGCUGUGGAGCGAAGCUAGGCAAAAGGGAAAGCGACCACAGAGGAAGAUGUGGUGAGGGAGUGUUGGUUCGUGUUAUACUGGGAGCCAGAUACCAGUUAGUAGAGUUGAGCCAAGGCAACCUGGCUUCUCCCAGUGAAAGAAGGAGUGUUGGAGAAAGUAGAGGACCUCCUCUGGCUGGAGCGUUGGAGUAUGGGUGGGUGGAGGGAGUGAGCAACAUGUAAUUCAGAAACACUGAAGAAAAAUCGGCACGAGGGGCUCCUGGGCGGCUCAGUGGGUUAAGCGUCUGCCUUCGGCUCAGGUCAUGAUCCCAGGGUCCUGGGUCGGAGCCCCACAUCGGGCUCCUUACUCAGCAGGGAGCCUGCUUCUCCCUCUCCCUCUGUCUCUCCCCCUGCCCGUGUUCUCUCUCUCGCUCACUCUCUUUCAAAUAAAUAAACUUGAAGAAGAAAGGAAAAAGAAAUAAGGAAAAACGGGCAUGAACAAGCUGGGGAGGCUUUACACAGUCUCUCAGGCGUCCAGGAACUCCUUAUUCAAUAGUUUCAUUACUUUCAUCUUUACUCUUUCCCUAGGAUUUUUGUCAGCCUUUUUGAGCUUUUUUGAUCUACAAUAAAGUUCUCCAAUUUUUGAAGUUACAAUCUGAGAGGUGGUAACAAAUGUACAUGGUCACAUUGCCCAUCACCGCAAUUAGGAUAUGGAACAUUUCCAGUGAGCGCUCCCAAAAGCUCCCUCGUGCCCCUUUGCAGUCCGUCCUCUCUCCUCACUACCUCCCUCUACCCCUCCCAGCCCCCACCCCCCACUCCCAUCCCGCUGCCAAUCAACUCCAAGGCAGCGUCUAUCCCUGGGGCUUUGCAGAGGAUUUCCUAUGGGUGGAAUCCCAGGGCAUGCACUCGUCUGUGUUCAGCCACUCUCCUUUAGCAUUAUACUUUGGCGCUCCUUCCCUAGGGUUGCAUUAUCAGUAACUCAUUCAGUUUGCUGAAUAGCGUUUCAUGAUAUGGAUACACCAAAUGUGGGUUCUGCGUACCAGCCGGACAUUCGGAUCAUUUCCAGUUUUUUCGAUGAUGAAUAAAGCUGCUACAUGGAACAUU